GAUGAACGCUGGCGGCGUGCCUAAUACAUGCAAGUCGAGCGAACGGACGAGAAGCUUGCUUCUCUGAUGUUAGCGGCGGACGGGUGAGUAACACGUGGAUAACCUACCUAUAAGACUGGGAUAACUUCGGGAAACCGGAGCUAAUACCGGAUAAUAUUUUGAACCGCAUGGUUCAAAAGUGAAAGACGGUCUUGCUUUCACUUAUAGAUGGAUCCGCGCUGCAUUAGCUAGUUGGUAAGGUAACGGCUUACCAAGGCAACGAUGCAUAGCCGACCUGAGAGGGUGAUCGGCCACACUGGAACUGAGACACGGUCCAGACUCCUACGGGAGGCAGCAGUAGGGAAUCUUCCGCAAUGGGCGAAAGCCUGACGGAGCAACGCCGCGUGAGUGAUGAAGGUCUUCGGAUCGUAAAACUCUGUUAUUAGGGAAGAACAUAUGUGUAAGUAACUGUGCACACCUUGAGGGUACCUAAUCAGAAAGCCACGGCUAACUACGUG
rnacentral:rRNA from 1 species